UCAUGCUUGUAUGGAGAGCUGCAGCUAAUCAUAGGUGAGUGGGCUUUACCAGUCAGUAGGUUCAUUUUCUCCUACUCUUCAUUGUUGGUGACUGGAAAAAAGUCUGAGUAGGCUUCUGUGGAACUGCUGGUAUUAGUUCUUACUACCUUUAGUUACUUAGAGUAAGUUCCCUCCCUGCGCUUCUGGAGAAUGUCAGUAAUUGCACCUUAUUCCUUUUGGACAGGUAUGCCAAUGUCUUCCUGCAGCCUGUUACAGAUGACAUAGCACCUGGCUACCACAGCAUUGUGCAGAGGCCUAUGGAUUUGUCAACUAUUAAGAAAAACAUAGAAAAUGGACUGAUCCGAAGCACAGCUGAAUUUCAGCGUGACAUUAUGCUGAUGUUUCAGAAUGCUGUAAUGUACAAUAGCUCAGACCAUGAUGUCUAUCACAUGGCAGUGGAGAUGCAGCGAGAUGUCUUGGAACAGAUCCAGCAAUUCUUGGCCACGCAGUUGAUUAUGCAAACAUCCGAGUCUGGGAUCAGUGCUAAAAGUCUUCGAGGGAGAGAUUCUACCCG
rnacentral:sRNA from 1 species